AUACAAUGAUUAAUGCCUCUACAAAAGGGAACUCUUACGGAGGUCUGGACAAUGGACAAUCUCGAGCCCAGUGCCUUCCCUCUGAGGACAUCUCAUCUGAUGGCUUUCAGGAGAAUCCUAUUAUCAACUUCUCCUGUGGCGUAUACACUUCUCCCAGGAAUCGCACCCAUUUCUUCUCUACUCAGUGGGAUUUAACAACGGUUUUAUUUCAUCACAACGAUCUGGUCCUCCCCUUGAGCCAAUGUCAGUGCACUCAAUAUGUCGGCAGAAAAGGUACGGCACUAGGAAAAGAGGGGAUUAAGGAUGUUUUUUUUUUAACUAGAUUUGAUUUCACUGAAAGCUUAAGUCACCUGUAUCUCUUUUUGGGGGAAUGUAAUGGGGAAAUACAACUUUCUGUACUUUAUGUUUGGAUUCAUUUAAAAAUUCAAUUCAAUUUUAUUUAUUUAUAUAGCCCAAUAACAAUUCUAAAUCUUUCAAGGCACUUUACAGAGCCCAGAGCCUGA
rnacentral:lncRNA from 1 species